rnacentral:rRNA from 1 species
GAUGAACGCUGGCGGCGCGCCUAACACAUGCAAGUCGAACGAUUAAAGCACCUUCGGGUGUGUAUAAAGUGGCGAACGGCUGAGUAACACGUGGGCAACCUGCCCCUUUCAUUGGGAUAGCCACGGGAAACCGUGGAUAAUACCGAAUACUUCGAGACUUCCGCAUGGAAGACUCGAGAAAGCUCCGGCGGAGAGGGAUGGGCCCGCGGCCUGUUAGCUUGUUGGUGGGGUAACGGCCUACCAAGGCAAUGAUGGGUAGCUGGGUUGAGAGACCGACCAGCCAGAUUGGGACUGAGACACGGACCAGACUCCUACGGGAGGCAGCAGUGGGGAAUCUUGCACAAUGGGCGAAAGCCUGAUGCAGCGACGCCGCGUGCGGGAUGAAGGCCUUCGGGUUGUAAACCGCUUUCAGCAGGGACGAGGCGAAAGUGACGGUACCUGCAGAAGAAGCCCCGGCUAACUACGUG